GAUUCAUCCUGUUUGCAGCUGUAAUCAGGUCUGGUUUUGCAAGGAAACAGGCACAAGAGCCCACUAAGGAGUUGUUGAUACCAAAUGCCAGUGAUGUAGAAAAGGCACCUUCUGAUGUAGAAAAGGCAAUGAAAACUGGUAACAGUCAAUUCACCUGUGUUCGAACUGAAGGUGAAAACCCAGAAACGGACAACAAUGAGGAAGGGAGAAUGUUAGCAGUACGUCACGAAACCGCUCAGAAAGAAUGUUGGGAACCAUCCAGUUCAGUGUCCGAGGACUCGCAUUUGAACUAUUUCUCUAUAGACAAAUAGUGGAAGUUUAUCUUAAAUCCUUAUUGUUAGUCCACCAUCUAUUCAAAUAGAUGGUGGGUUAUUCAAAUCGCCCUGCGUCCGUGGUCCGUAGUCCGUCCGUCUGUCCGUCCGUCCGUAAACAAUUCUUGUUACCGCUAUUUCUGGAAAAGUACUGGAUGGAUCUUUCUCAAAUUUCAUAUGCAUGUUCCCCUUGGUCCCUAGUUGUGCAUUGUACCUUUUUUGAACUGAUUUGCAUUCAAGAUGGCCGACAGGUGGCCAUCUUGGAUUUUGGAAGUAAAAGUUUGUUAUCGCUAUUUCUGGAAAAGUACUGGAUGGAUCUUUCUCAAAUUUCAUAUGCAGUUUCCCCUUAGUCCCUAG